AUGAACGCUGGCGGCGUGCUUAACACAUGCAAGUCGAACGGAAAGGCUCCUGCUUGCAGGGGUACUCGAGUGGCGAACGGGUGAGUAACACGUGGGUGAUCUGCCCUGCACUUCGGGAUAAGCCUGGGAAACUGGGUCUAAUACCGGAUAGGACCACAUUUUGGAUGGUGUGGUGGAAAGUUUUUCGGUGUGGGAUGAGCUCGCGGCCUAUCAGCUUGUUGGUGGGGUAAUGGCCUACCAAGGCGUCGACGGGUAGCCGGCCUGAGAGGGUGUACGGCCACAUUGGGACUGAGAUACAGCCCAGACUCCUACGGGAGGCAGCAGUGGGGAAUAUUGCACAAUGGGCGCAAGCCUGAUGCAGCGACGCCGCGUGGGGGAUGACGGCCUUCGGGUUGUAAACUCCUUUCGCUAGGGACGAAGCGCAAGUGACGGUACCUGGAGAAGAAGCACCGGCUAACUACGUG
rnacentral:rRNA from 1 species